UGUGCUUUCAAUGUUCCUUCUAUAUUCUUUUACCCUCUUAUUGAGUGACCUUGAAGUGUAACCUAUGUAUUUAAGGUUCUCCUGUACAUCAUUGUCAAACGCUGCAAUUUCGUAUACUCCUGGCAUGGUAGUUGGGUCAUAUUUGUCUUUGUCGUUCCUAAGGAUGUUAAAUAGGGUAUUCCUCCUGUUAAAAACAAUUCUAGUGCUUGUUGCUUUCUCUAUUUUCUUCUUACAUCUUAAUGUAAUCGGAUUAAUCUCCAAAUUAUAAAAAUUCUUCUCAUUGCUAGCUUUUCCAUCAUCUGUCUUUGUUUUUUUAAACUGCUUUUUGGAAAUUUUCUUCCACAGUCUCAGAAUCA
rnacentral:lncRNA from 1 species